rnacentral:rRNA from 1 species
CUAGCGACUUCAGAGUUUGAUCCUGGCUCAGGAUGAACGCUAGCUACAGGCUUAACACAUGCAAGUCGAGGGGUCUUUUGGAGCUUGCUUUAAAAGACGACCGGCGCACGGGUGAGUAACGCGUAUCCAACCUGCCCUUCAUAUUGGGAUAGCCUCUCGAAAGGGAGAUUAAUACCGAAUAACAUAGUUUAGUUGCCUGACCAGACUAUGAAAGCUCCGGCGAUGAAGGAUGGGGAUGCGUUCCAUUAGGUAGUAGGCGGGGUAACGGCCCACCUAGCCAACGAUGGAUAGGGGUUCUGAGAGGAAGGUCCCCCACACUGGAACUGAGACACGGUCCAG